AGCUAAUGGACCAUAUCGUACCAUACUUUUUCCACUAUCCCAGGGUGGGGCGAGUAAGGAAGGAGGACUUUAGCCAGAAAGAAAGCCCUGAUUAGCCUAGAUUUACGUUUAAGCGAAGAAUUGUGCCAUAUUUUAUCUGUAAAUAAUAAUGCUGCUACGUAAAUAUUGACUAGCAGCAGCCUUUAAUGCAAAUAAACCACGAGGCGAUACUGCAGAGUCAAAUGGAUUGGCUAAUGGAGAAGCUAAUGUUUACAUUCUGACAGUGUGUGCUCUAUUACGGUGAACGCAUUAUGAGGUCCUCAUCAUAACGCAUUGAGAGGUCAGUGCAUCAUUAACAAAGCAGCAGUCACAGGCAACAAAGGCUGCACAUCUGGCCAGGCAUGGAUGUCUCGGUGGAGCAGAGGGGAGGCCGAGGACCAACUGCACAAUGUGUAAAUGAACGAGGCCCUGAAGGGGACGGCAGUCAACAAGCACCCGUUGUGUUCCUGGCUGCUUUUCAAAGGACAUCUGAUCACCGGGCUUGCCGCACGCCACAGCGCUUGCAGGUGGUCUGUCUGCACUUAGGGGCCGAGAACAUUUAAUAUUUCAUAGGAGCAGAGUACACCCCUGGACGCCGUCAUUGAGUCCACAUGUCCUGCAAAAAGAAAGCUGGUCUGUGAACACUCGGCUGAAAUAUGCGGCCUGCCGGCCCCCUCUCCACCAUGCUGCUCGCUCACUUGC